GACGAACCGUGCGAACGUUGUUCGGAAUCACUGGGCUUAAAGGGCGCGUAGGCGGGCAGCUAAGUCAGGGGUGAAAGCCCACGGCUCAACCGUGGAAGUGCCUUUGAUACUGGCUGUCUCGAGGGAGGUAGGGGCGUGCGGAACUUCCGGUGGAGCGGUGAAAUGCGUAGAUAUCGAGAGGAACACCUGCGGCGAAGGCGGGUUGCUGGGCCGACACUGACGCUGAGGCGCGAAAGCUAGGGGAGCGAACGGG
rnacentral:rRNA from 1 species